CUCUGUAAACCGCUUAGAGAGGGCUGAAAGCCCUAUGAAGCGGUAUAUAAGUCUACUGCUAUUGCUAUUCUCUACCCCCAUACAUAUAUACCGGUACAUGUAAAGUUAACUUUCUAAUAUAUUACACUUGUUCUACUGUAGGAUGACAUAGAAAGAGAGCACCAGGUUGUCCAGUAAACCACCAAUACCUUUUAAGGGUGCCUCAACAUUCAGGGAUGAUAAAAGAAGAAACAGUUGAAAAGAAUAGGCAAGACGUACAAUAGAGUGCAAUAAAAAUCUGCCUGGUAAAUUUAACCCUUUUCGUAAUCCCAAAGGUGCUUUUUCAAGAGGCAACUGCACUUUCUUGUUUUUCUUUGAAGACGUAUCAAUUCUCAUUCAAGAAGUUUCUUCAAUUCUGACUGGAUGGUAGGAAAUGGAAGGAUUUUUGUAAUGUUUCAACAGGGUUUAUUUCUCUUCUGUUCUUCCCAGCUAUUUCUUCCCCUUGUUUUAUCUCCAUCCAGUUUUCAUCUUCUUUCUUUCCUCUCCCCUUCCCAGGGCAGCUCCACAUUCCCACAUCAUGUGGAAGGAGAGAAACAUGCUCAUGUGUAUGGGUUGUAUUUGAAGAUAGCAACUACAGUUAGUGUGUGUUCACACUAUCCUUGGCCCUCUGCUAUUAGGAAGAGGAAAGAAAGAAGCGUUACUUCACACUCAGCCACCUGUCUUUAUACUGGGCAAUGCUAGUGGGAAAGCAGCCUAAAUUUGGCUCUCUUUCUGCACAUUAUCUUUCAAUGCACAACCUUUUGUUCUUAACCAAGAAUGAGUUCAUCUGGGGACAAAAUAUCCACAAAUCAUCAUCAUCCAUUUGUAAUGAAGUUGUAGAUUUCAUAACACUAAUAUUUAGGGAAAAGCAGAGAACAUUUUUAUAUCAUAUGUUCCCAGGCUGAAAAAUGAAAUGUUAAUAUUUUUUAUUUAUAGGGAAAUUUGGUUAAGAGAGUUAACUCUGUUCAGAUGCAUAUUCUGACAGAUGGGGUGGGGAGAGUCAAGAGAAAAGACAAGACUUUCACUACUUGUCUCUCUUCUGACUUUGCCUUUUUUCAAUGUUCCAUUUUCUUUUCAUUUCUAACACCAUUUGUUAAAAACAAUGCUUCCUAAACUAGCAGAAUCGCCUUAGACAGCAAGAUGGGCCGCAUAUAUAUAUUUAAUAAAUAAAUGUAUAUGUACGGUAUGUAUUUUUUAAAAAUCCUGAACCUAAAAACAUUUUAUUGUGCAGCCCAAAGUGUUUUCUCCAGAAUAUUUUACUACUAAGAAUAGCCUGAGUGCAUGACUCAUCAUUCUGAGCAUGUUUCUUGAUUGAGGGGAUGGAGAACUAAAAGUCCAAAUCAUACAGAGAAAUUGCAGGCAAUCUCCUCAGCAGAUUUACCCAUUAGUCCAACAAAAAUCUUUGAUUAAAUCAUUUUUCACACUUCACUUAGAGCUUUCUCAUGCAAUACAACAUGAAAAUUAAGGUUUUAGAAAAGAUCUGGAUGUUUUGUUUGGGGAUUAGGCUGCAAAUUACAGCAUACAGAAUAUAAAUGGUGCCCUGUAAAUAAAUUUCAGCCUUUACAGCUGUCCUAUGACAGCCUAACCAAAAAGGAAAUCAUUUACAAGAACUUAGCACAAAUUACUUUCAAAAGUUUAACUUAGGAACCCUAUUGUGCUAUUCUUUCCUUACAUUUAAAGAAGAUAAUUUUAAUUUUCUGGAUUUUUUUCUAAUGAAAUGUAUUUCAACCUUUUGACAAGUGUUUCAGGUUAAGAAAAAAAAAUAAGAUUGGGCCAUGAGAAGAUGUAUAGAUUCCUUGUUAUAUUAUAAAUCAGGUUAUAUAAUAUUAAAAUAUAGGGCCAUGAUGGCGAACCUAUGGCCACUUGCCAGAGGUGGCACACAGAGUCCUCUCUGGGCAUGCACGCAGUCGUCAGCUGCUCUUCUGGUUUCCGGCAUACACAUCCAUUUUCCAGGGCAUUUUUAGGCCAUUUUCCAGCACAGUUUUAGGCCAUUUUUACUCAAAAUAUGCCUCCGAAAUGGCCUGAAAACAGUGCAAAAAACGGUUUCAAACCGGCCCAAAGCAGGCCAUUUUUUUCAGGCCAUUUGGGGGCUAAAAACAGUCCGAAAAACAACUUGAAAACGGCCAAAAAACAGGCAUGCACACUGGCCAGCUGGUUUUCAGGUUUCCGGCACUCCAGUCUCACACACAUGCACGCAUUCUAGUUUGGGCACUCGGUGCCCAAAAGGUUUGCCAUCACUGAUAUAGGGGUAUUCAAAGGUGGGAGAGUCAAGGCAGAAAAAUAGUUUUCAAUAAGAAAUAGAUAAAUCUGUGAAGACUGAAACUAUCAGUGGUUAUUAAUUAUGACAGUUAUAAAAAUAUGAUAUAUGACACACUAUUCUAGUGUGAAUAUUUUUACAAUAUUUUUAAGAAUGGCAGGAAGUUACCUGGCCUAUUUUAAAAUCCAAAC